GACGAACGCUGGCGGCGUGCUUAACACAUGCAAGUCGAACGGAAAGGCCCUGCUUUUGUGGGGUGCUCGAGUGGCGAACGGGUGAGUAACACGUGAGUAACCUGCCCUUGACUUUGGGAUAACUUCAGGAAACUGGGGCUAAUACCGGAUAGGAGCUCCUGCUGCAUGGUGGGGGUUGGAAAGUUUCGGCGGUUGGGCUGGACUUGAGGCUUAUCCGCUUGUUGGUGGGGUUGUGGCUUUCCAAGGCUUUGACGGGGAGCCGGCCUGGGAGGGUGACCGGCCACAUUGGGACUGAGAUACGGCCCAGACUCCUACGGGAGGCAGCAGUGGGGAAUAUUGCACAAUGGGCGGAAGCCUGAUGCAGCAACGCCGCGUGCGGGAUGACGGCCUUCGGGUUGUAAACCGCUUUCGCCUGUGACGAAGCGUGAGUGACGGUAAUGGGUAAAGAAGCACCGGCUAACUACGUG
rnacentral:rRNA from 1 species